rnacentral:lncRNA from 1 species
GUCAGAACAAGUGCCUUUCUCAUGGGCUUCACACCCCCAAACAAGUGGAUGGCUAGGUCUGCCCAGUUUGGACUCUGGGUCCUGACUCCUCCUCUGGGCUGUUUCCCAAUAAUGGUUACACCAACAACUUCUCACACAGGUUCUCUGGGCCCAAGCCUGGCACCACCGCUGCAGAGAUCCUAUGGGAGGGACAACGUGGAAGGUGGCUCAUUCAUUGGCUUCCACGUGAGCUGUUCCACGGGCGGGCAACUUGCACCGCCUGGGCCCAGGCUCCACGUUGGAUUGCCCUUCUCUCUGCGUACGGUAGGGAGCAUGGGGAGAUGGACUCGUUGGCUUUGAAUCUCCAGGAUGCAGAAGAUUAUAUCCAAGGGAUGACUCAUACUGUGUAUCGGCUCCAACAGGAGAAACUAUUUUGCCUGCUGACCCAGAGGCCACAGAUGGUGUUCCAAGUGCUAUCUUAAAGAGACAAUGUCAUAGUUGACACUCUCCCCCAGUCCAUUCAGUGGAUAUAUAAUGGUAGGAUAUAUGGGAGGAUAUAUAAUGUCUUGCAUCUGUCCCUGCAGUAUCAUUGAGGACAACUCCUAGUCCCCCAAAUGCCCACUAUCACACCUCUUUUUCCCUCUCCCUGCUUAAUCCAUGCUGUGCAGCAGUGCUCCAAAAUGUACUCAUCAAAUGUAAUGAAUGUGCC